UGGGGAAUAUUGCACAAUGGGCGCAAGCCUGAUGCAGCCAUGCCGCGUGUAUGAAGAAGGCCUUCGGGUUGUAAAGUACUUUCAGUCGGGAGGAAGGUGGUAAGGUUAAUAACCUUAUCAAUUGACGUUACCGACAGAAGAAGCACCGGCUAACUCCGUGCCAGCAGCCGCGGUAAUACGGAGGGUGCAAGCGUUAAUCGGAAUUACUGGGCGUAAAGCGCACGCAGGCGGUUUGUUAAGUCAGAUGUGAGAUCCCCGGGCUCAACCUGGGAACUGCAUCUGAUACUGGCAAGCUUGAGUCUCGUAGAGGGGGGUAGAAUUCCAGGUGUAGCGGUGAAAUGCGUAGAGAUCUGGAGGAAUACCGGUGGCGAAGGCGGCCCCCUGGACGAAGACUGACGCUCAGGUGCGAAAGCGUGGGGAGCAAACAGG
rnacentral:rRNA from 1 species